rnacentral:rRNA from 1 species
AACGUAGGAGGCAAGCGUUAUCCGGAUUUACUGGGCGUAAAGCGCGUGCAGGCGGUUUGGAAAGUUGGAUGUGAAAGCUCCUGGCUUAACUGGGAGAGGUCGUUCAAUACUACCAGACUUGAGGAUAGUAGAGGGAGAUGGAAUUCCGGGUGUAGUGGUGAAAUGCGUAGAUAUCCGGAGGAACACCAGUGGCGAAAGCGGUCUCCUGGACUAUUUCUGACGCUCAGACGCGAAAGCUAGGGUAGCAAACGGG